AAAGUAAGCAGUUAAAAUGCAUUUUUUACUGAUAUUCAUUUUGUGUAUGUUGACUGUAGAAAGCUAUGGUAUGUAUUUUUUGCUUGUAAGAUUAUCUAUAUAAUAUUACGUUCUUUUUGUCUUUUCUUAUUUUUCUAUAUGUAUUUUAUCUUUUAUUUCUAAUUUCACUUGUUUUGUUGCAAGUCUGGAUUUUAUCUCAUAUCCGCCAAAAUAAGUUGGUUUAAAGUAUUAUUGUGUUAAAAUAUAUCAACUUUUUUCUAUUAAGUUUGAGAUAAAAUCUAACUAAUUUUUGCACGUGUCUGUAGUGACGUUUUAGAUUCCAAUGAACGCAAUCUAUAUUUUACUGGUUAAUUUUGACAUUUCAGUCAAAGAUUUCGUUUCCACAAAUUACUUAAAACCUUAACUAAAUACUUCCAAAGAUACUAAGAUUUUGUUUUAAAGUAUAUAGUAUUUAUUACAAACGGUAUAGAACAUUUUAAUUUGUGCAGUGAUUCUGUAAAUUUAACUACGAUCCGGGUGAAUUAACCAAUUCUUACAAUCAACGCAUUCAAAAGGAUUACCAACUCAACAUUGUAAUCAAUUUUUUGAUUACUAAUUUUAUUGUUAUGAACAUUGUUCUUGUAAUCAGUAAAUUGAAAUUAAACUAUUUAUUAUUGUUCAACACAUGUAUAUGUACGGUCUUACUACGUCUUGAUGCCUAUAGUUUGACAGUUCGUGUAUUAUCUGACUGUAAAUUACGUCUUUACACUAAUCAUAUUGGAUGUUGGAUAUGUGUUGAUUGAUUUUUUUUAAAAUCCGUUGUCUUUUUUAUUCAACAACCUAACUGCAAGUGCUGUUAACAAAUUUCUUCACUGGUAUAGUUAUUUCAGUUUUCAGUAAUUGCAAGUCCUAUCAUAUGUUUACUUUAUGUUUUCUGUGUUCUGUUAAUAUGUUUUGUCCAUUGUAUUGAUCAGAUGAUUUAAGCCCUUUUCAACUAUGUUUUAUAGAUUGCUCUUAUGUUAAACGGUAUACCAAUGUCCAAAAUUCAGUAGAGGGUUUGGCGCUAGCAAACAUGUUUUACUUAGUCUAAUUCUGUAUGUUAGGAGCUUGUGAUUUAGUGGUCUUUGGUUGGUGUUUUGUCAGUGUAUUGAAAUUUGCUUUACGGUUGAAUAUUUUGUACAUGAUUAAGGCCGUUUGAUUAUCGUUUAAAAGGUUUUUAAUUUUUAGGACAUUUUAUAGCUUACUACACGGAAGGCAUUUUUCUUAUUCUUAAAGGCCAUACGAUGACCUAUAUUUGUUAAUAUCUACGUCGUGUGGUCUCUAGUUGAAUGCAGUCUCUUUGAUAAUCAAAUUUCUUAUUUGUUUUAUCAAAGACGUCACAUAAAACAAACACACACUUUGCAGAUCAUUACACAAGUCAGGUUUCCUUGCGAAUCGUAUAAACAUCGUAAGAGAUACAUAUUUUAUCACUGAAUCUCGUGUAAUACGAUAUUUAUCCACUUUCGACAGUCAGGUUGCCAAUACUUUACAGUCUCAAGUGAAUAAAUAUUGUAUGAAACUGAUGCUAUGGUAGAAUCUAUAUAUUCAAGUCAGAAAUAUACUAUUAUAUUUUUUUAGAAAACGUUAUCAGUUUAUAACAUGUAUAAACAACCUUACAUUAAAUGUUUAUCAAUUUGUCAUAGCUAAGGAUUUAGUGCUUCAGUACUUGGAUGAUUUAUAACCAAAAAUAAAAAAAUGUCAAAUUAUAGAUUAAGAAAUUAUAUGGAAACUAAGGUUUCAACUCUAAACCAAACACGUUCUUUAGCACAGUCAUAUCAAAUAAUGUGCGUUGUAAACCUGAUAAAACCGAACAUCGGCUAAAACCGAACAAAAUCAUAAGUCCCGAAGAGGUUCGGUUUAAACAGGUUUCAUAAAACGCGCAUCUGGCGUACUAAAUUUUAAUGCUGGUACCUUUGAUAACUAUUCACUUUAUAUGAUUUUAAGUUUGAUUUGUACAUAACCAUAAAUGGGUAAACUAUACUAUUUUGAAAUUCAAACAAAUAUGAGAUGGUGUAAAGUCGAAACUGAGGCUAACAUAUUUCUCUCUAUUUGUGGAUAUCGUACCAAACAUACAUCAUGUACAUAGGUGAACUCAAAAUUCAAAUUACGUGUUUGAAAUUGAAUCUUGUGUUUAAAUGCAAAAUAUAGUAACUGGUGUCAUUUGUUCCUUAUAACUGAUGUCCCUUUUAGAAAUAUUAUACUAGUUAGAAUCUUUCUCUUUACAAAUAUUCCUUAUGAAAUAUAUAUUUUUCCAUGUCAUUAUGGACUAUCGACACACCAUGAGGGUAUCAUCAGCUCAGUAACCAGUACUUUUAACAAACAUUUAUUUUUAUCUUGCACUUAACAUGACCAUUUUUAUUGAGUGUUUUUGCAAAAAUAUGAUGAAUAUAAUCAAUUAUAUAUCAUAUCUUUCAGCAUUUUCCCAUUUUUCAAUGAUGAGAGUGAUGUUACAACAAUGCCAUGAAACCCUUCCGUUUUUAACAAGAUCAGAUGAUACCAAAUGCGACUAUAUACAACGUCUACACAAAGAGUUAUGUAAAACCUGUCGGACAUCAACAAACUUCUUUCAAUGUGUAGAACGAUACUGUCUUUACAAGUAGUGUGUGCGUGGUUGUUGUAUCUUACGGAUUGGAUAUCGUGUAAUGCAAAAUGUUAAGCAAGAC
rnacentral:lncRNA from 1 species